UGGGCCUUUUUACUCAUCUUUAUGCGGGUU
rnacentral:piRNA from 1 species